GUGUUAGGUUUAUGGACUAGUUUUAGCCACUAGAGGCCCUCAUUGCAUUUUAUUUCAGUUUCCCGCCUUUGUAUCAUGUGUCAUUGUUUUCACCUGUGCCUCAUUUUUUGUGAGUGUAUUUAAGUUGCUCUGUUUCUCUGUUCUUUGCUCAGUGUUUGUUAUGUUGAGACCAACACCUCUAGGCUUCUGUUGUUUUGAGGACACUUUGUUACCCUUGGAGGUUUCUGAACUUUGUUAAGAUUUUUGCAAAACCUUUGGAACAUUUGGGAUCUUCUGUUGGUAACUAUGUUAUGUUUUUUCCCCUAUUGACUUUUUGGGACAUUUUUUGAGUUUUUUCAGUUUGGAUUAACUUUUGGUAUUUUUGUGGAAUUACCUUCUGGUCUAAUUAAAAGACAUUGAGUAUAUUCCCUGACUGAGCUCUCAUUUCUGCAACUGGGACCACAUUCCCCAUUUUCCCCAAGCUCAGUUCCCUUGACCUUGCGUCACCCAUGAUAGUCUGACAACAUUUACAUUACAUUUAUGCAUUUGGCAGACGCUUUUAUCCAAAGCGACUUACAGUGCAAUUAUUACAGCGACAAUCCCCCCGGAACAACCUGGAUUGUAUUUAAUAUAUAUUUAGGAUAUAUUACUGAAUUGCAUUUAUGCCGACAUAAACGCUGUGUAAAUGUAUCUGUGUAAACACACCUUUUACAAGAAUUGUAUUAAAUGUAUAUCUAAUUUUUUAUAUUUACUCUGUCAAAUCUAAAAUUAUCUCCCAUUUGAAGCGAUCUAUCUACAGGAGUCUGCAGUUGUAUGUAAGUGUGUUUAUUUCAUUGUUUUUAACGUUGUUAUAGUGGUAUUCAUUGCUAGAUCAGGUGCUGUUUGUUUACUGUCUUGAACGGGGGUCGCUUAGACGUGUGUUUGGUGUGUGUGCGCGCUAUAUUUGUGUUGACUUGUCCCAUAGUAUUCGCUGAUAGAAUUGUUAGACUUGUUUAAACUUGUCACGUAGGAUUCGUUGCUAGAUUUGCUUAGACUUCGGGUUGGUUAUCCUGUGUGUGUGUAAAACUAUCGUCGUUUUAGUGUCUGCAAACAGUGCUUCACUGGUUUCAGAGUAUUAUUUAUUGCUAAGUGCAGCAUAAUUUAUUUGCGCUGUACAGAAGUUGCGUUUGUUCCCGCGCAACCCUGAGUUUCGGUUUCGGGUGACUACGUGACUAGCUUUGUUGUGAUAAGUAGCAUUAAGGCGUGGCUGCUUUUUUCCACUGAACGGCUCGUAAAAGUGGUUAUUUAUUGGACUUAAUGCUGACGCGGAAGCGGCAGCGGAAGUGGUGGCCAUCGUGUGAAGCCCUCCUUGUGUGAAGACCUACUUGGGUAAAGACCAGCGAGUCUACCUGUGCGAGUCCACCGAGCAAGGACACUGACAAGGCUCCACUCACCAAAGCACUUAAACCGUUCACAAGAUACAUAUGCAAGACAAAAUGCAACCUACGGCCGCUUUGCACUUCAACACCUGCUCCACUCUCGUUCUCAGUUGGACUCUGGAACUGCCAGUCUGCUGUGAACAAAGCUGCCUUCAUUCCAGCUUUCGCCACGCAGUCCACCCUCAGCAUCCUGGCACUGACAGAGACAUGGAUACGUCCUGAGGAUACAGCAACACCUGCUGCUCUCUCUAACAACUUCUCCUUCUCCCACACCCCUCGACAUACUGGUAGGGGUGGGGGAACAGGUCAGCUGACAAGCUUUCUUGAGGAAUUGGAUGUCCUGCUGUCCUCCUUGCCAGAGGAUGGCAGGCCAGUUGUGGUUCUUGGUGAUUUCAACAUACACCAGGACAAACCCCAAGCCAUUGAACUGAAGACUCUUCUGGCCUCAUUUGACUUGGAAAGACUACACACCACAGCAACUCACAGACCAGCACGGACUACACCACCCAGCCCCUGGCUGUCUGACGUCCUUCGUGAACAUCGGACUGAUCUCAGGGCAGCUGAGAGGAGAUGGCGGAAAUCUAAAGAUCCAGCUGAUCUAGGUAAAUAUCAGCUUCUGCUCGCAACUUUUUCAAAUAACGUUAAAACUGCAAAAACUUCAUAUUACCAGACCAAGAUCAACAGCACCACAGACACUCGUAGCUUGUUUAGAACAUUUAACACACUUCUCUGCC